AGCCUGCCAUCCAUAAGAUCCUGUCUUUGUUCAACCCAGGGGCCAUUUCUGAUGGAUCUUAGUCCCAGGUCUAUGUGCCCGUGACAUUGUAAAUGACUUGUGGAUCUGUUUAUUCAGUUAUCUUUGCCUAAUGUUGUAUAUUUCUAACUUUGCACAUCCCUAAAAUUUAUUGGCAUGUUUCAAAGACUGUAUAAGCAGAUUCAUG
rnacentral:lncRNA from 1 species